UACGAAGGGUGCAAGCGUUAAUCGGAAUUACUGGGCGUAAAGCGUGCGUAGGCGGCUUUUUAAGUCGGAUGUGAAAUCCCCGAGCUUAACUUGGGAAUUGCAUUCGAUACUGGGAAGCUAGAGUAUGGGAGAGGAUGGUAGAAUUCCAGGUGUAGCGGUGAAAUGCGUAGAGAUCUGGAGGAAUACCGAUGGCGAAGGCAGCCAUCUGGCCUAAUACUGACGCUGAGGUACGAAAGCAUGGGGAGCAAACAGG
rnacentral:rRNA from 1 species